UUCCUUCCACGUACUGCACCUGAGCUGGGUAGACAUGCUGUACCUGUGGCACAGUCUGUACUUGCUGUACCUGCAAAACAAAUAUUAGGAUCGUGUUGAGAAAGAGAUAGGACAGGAUACACAACAUUAGAUUUGCUUCAAAGACUUCUCCAGGGGGUUGAAAACUAUGGGAUUCAUGCAAAUUUCAAGAUAAAGUGCAUAUUGGAUCCAAAUUAGCGUAGCAAGUAUGCUGAACAAAUUCUCUACCAUUUGGGAAUGCCGUUUCUGCAGAUGCAUAGGGAUACACAGACUCCCAAAUAUUUGGGGUGAAAAUUCUGAAAGCUCCUCACUUAUUCUGAUGGUUUACAAAAUUCUCUUCACGUGGCCUGUUAAAGAAUCUCUGGAAUUCUAGAGUUGGCUGAUAGCAUCCCUGAGAUGUCAUUUUAACUACUUGAAGUCCAUCUUAUCAUCUGAGACCACUUCAAAUCACUUCACAUCCCAACAGAAUACAUGUGGCAUGCUUCUGGCCCCUAGAUCAGUCCAGAAACUACUAAAUAAUGAGAAGGAAUUCCAGUCUUAAUUUUCUAGGUGGUUGUGGCCAAGCUGCUUCAUUUUUCUGGAUCUCAGUUUCCUCAACCUUAAAAUGAGAAAGUCAAAGCAGGGGUGCCUAGAAUAUUUUUUGAAUCUAAGAGGGAAGAAAACUCUGACAUAUGCUCAAUGUGGAUCACCUUGAGGAUAUGAGGUUAAGUGAAAUAAACCAAUGAGAAGAAGACAAAUACUAUAUGAUUGCUCUUAUGUGGGGACCUUGAGCAGUUAGAUUCAUAGGCACAGAAAGCAAAACAGAGGUUACCAGGGGAAAGGGGGAGUUGUUUAACAGAUACUGAGUUUCAGUUUUGCAAGAGGACUUCUGGAGACUGGAUGCACAACAAUGUGAAUAACUUAGCAAUAUUGAACUGAACAUUUAAAAAUGGUUAAGAUGGCCAAUUUUUUGUUAUGCUUGUUUUUCCACAAACUAAAUUUUUAAAAAUACAGGUUUAAAAAAACCCAUAGGACUAGAUGACAUUUAAGAUCUCUUUCAGGGGAUCCCUGGGUGGCGCAGCGGUUUGGCGCCUGCCUUUGGCCCAGGG